UACAACCAUAUCAAAUUGAAACAUCGGUUCCCGUAUGAUUGCCGAAGUUAAGCAAUGAUGAGCUUGGUCAGUACCUAGAUGGAUGACCGCUUGGGAAUACCAGGUGCUGUAA